rnacentral:rRNA from 1 species
CCUGCCCUUGGGUCCGGCAUAACCCCGGGAAACUGGGGAUAAUUCCGGAUAACGCACAUAUGCUGGAAUGCUUUAUGCGUCAAAUGGAUUCGUCUGCCCAAGGAUGGGUCUGCGGCCUAUCAGGUAGUAGUGGGUGUAAUGUACCUACUAGCCGACGACGGGUACGGGUUGUGAGAGCAAGAGCCCGGAGAUGGAUUCUGAGACAUGAAUCCAGGCCCUACGGGGCGCAGCAGGCGCGAAAACUUUACAAUGCGGGAAACCGUGAUAAGGGGACACCGAGUGCCAGCAUCAUAUGCUGGCUGUCCGGGUGUGUAAAAUACACCUGUUAGCAAGGGCCGGGCAAGACCGGUGCCAGCCGCCGCGGUAACACCGGCGGCCCGAGUGGUGAUCGUGAUUAUUGGGUCUAAAGGGUCCGUAGCCGGUUUGGUCAGUCCUCCGGGAAAUCUGACGGCUUAACCGUUAGGCUUUCGGAGGAUACUGCCAGGCUUGGAACCGGGAGAGGUAAGAGGUACUACAGGGGUAGGAGUGAAAUCUUGUAAUCCCUGUGGGACCACCUGUGGCGAAGGCGUCUUACCAGAACGGGUUC